UAGGGAAUCUUCGGCAAUGGACGAAAGUCUGACCGAGCAACGCCGCGUGAGUGAAGAAGGUUUUCGGAUCGUAAAACUCUGUUGUUAGAGAAGAACAAGGACGUAGUAACUGAACGUCCCCUGACGGUAUCUAACCAGAAAGCCACGGCUAACUACGUGCCAGCAGCCGCGGUAAUACGUAGGUGGCAAGCGUUGUCCGGAUUUAUUGGGCGUAAAGCGAGCGCAGGCGGUUUAUUAAGUCUGAUGUGAAAGCCCCCGGCUCAACCGGGGAGGGUCAUUGGAAACUGGGAGACUUGAGUGCAGAAGAGGGGAGUGGAAUUCCAUGUGUAGCGGUGAAAUGCGUAGAUAUAUGGAGGAACACCAGUGGCGAAGGCGGCUCUCUGGUCUGUAACUGACGCUGAGGCUCGAAAGCGUGGGGAGCAAACAGG
rnacentral:rRNA from 1 species